AGGAAACAAUCUCUGCUGCCUCAGCUGGUAAUUGCUGAAUCUGGCUGGGAAGACCCUUGUUGAAGAUCCUUGUUGCUGAUCAAGGAGACAUAGGUCAGAAACCACAGAUGGCUCCUGUGGGUUGUCCUUCAUGUACAGUUUGUAUGUUCCUGUGGCUGCUGCUCUCAUGUAGGUUUGGGUAUUAAGAAUGUUGUCUUCUGUUGGAAGCAGGUGAGAAAGAUACAUGAUGUUUGAAGAACCUUUUCCUUCAUGAAUGAACUUCAUUACUGUACUAAUGACAUCUGACUGAAUUUUGGAGAUAGCUUUGUGUACGUCAGGCAAGGAAGUUGGCAGUGAGCACUGUCUGGAAAACAGAACUAGACCUCCAACAGCAUUGACAGUGCACACACACUCAGGUCAAGACCCUGAAGACAUGCUGAAGAUUUAAGCCACUGAAAUAAAGAAUGAAUGAUGCAAGGGUGGCAUGCUGGGACAGCGGAGUUUUCACCAUAAGCCUGAGUCUGAUCCCUUUAAAAAUAAUGACACAAAAACUGUAUUGUGCUCAAAAGCUACCCUCAGCUACAAUGAGGAAGGUUUUCGAAAUGGAUACCUGGAAACCACUUCUUCUUCUCUACAUUUUCACCUUCUCUACAGAGGCAGAGGAGUCUGGUAAUACACAAAAGAAAUUACUCUUCAAGUU